rnacentral:rRNA from 1 species
AUUGAACGCUGGCGGCAGGCCUAACACAUGCAAGUCGAACGAGUGGCGGACGGGUGAGUAAUGUCUGGGAAACUGCCUGAUGGAGGGGGCUAAAUACUGGAACCGGUAGCUAAUACCGCAUACAGUCAGAUGUGCCCAGAUGGGAUUAGCUAGUUGGUGGGGUAACGGCUCACCAAGGCGACGAUCCCUCGCUGGUCUGAGAGGAUGACCAGCCAACUGGGAACUGAGACACGGUCCAGCCUCCGACGGGAGGCAGCAUUGGGGAAUAUUGCACAAUGGGCGCAAGCCUGAUGCAGCCAUGCCGCGUGUAUGAAGAAGGCCUUCGGGUUUUAAAGUACUUUCAGCGGGGAGGCGUUACCCGCAGAAGAAGCACCGGCUAACUCCGGGCCAGCAGCCGCGGUAAUUC